CGCGGGGUGGAGCAGUCUGGUAGCUCGUCGGAUUCACUAUCCGAAGGUCGUUGGUUCAUCCAGCCCCCGCAACCA
rnacentral:tRNA from 1 species